GACGAACGCUGGCGGCGUGCUUAACACAUGCAAGUCGAACGGAAAGGCCCUGCUUUUGUGGGGUGCUCGAGUGGCGAACGGGUGAGUAACACGAGAGUAACCUGCCCUUGACUUUGGGAUAACUUCAGGAAACUGGGGCUAAUACCGGAUAGGAGCCCCUGCUGCAUGGAGGGGGUUGGAAAGUUUCGGCGGUUGGGGAUGGAGUCGCGGCUUAUCAGCUUGUUGGUGGGGUAGUGGCUUACCAAGGCUUUGACGGGUAGCCGGCCUGAGAGGGUGACCGGCCACAUAGGGAUAGGGGAGGGACCCGUGCGGAUUAGUGGGGAAGGGGCGGAGAAUUGAGCAAAAUGGGCGGAGGCGUGAUAGAGGACCGCCGCGUGGGAGAUGACGGCUUUCGGGAUGUAAAACGAUUAGGCCUGUGACGAGGCGUGAGGGACGGAAAUGGAUAAAGAGGCACCGGCUACCUACGU
rnacentral:rRNA from 1 species